rnacentral:lncRNA from 12 species
GCUAUUUUUAAUGGCUAUAUUUAUUAUUUGUUACUAUCAGAAUUAAAUAGGGUCACCUCUAUUGGUCCUACUUGUAAUAAUUUCCAGCCUUGGGUAAUAUAUCAUUCCAUUUCUCAGAAUUCAGAUGACACUAAAUUAAGGCAGGUCAAGAGACUAUAAUGAUUUAGUUACAUGACUAAGUUAGUAUUUCUUUUUUUUUUUUAAAGACACAUUCAUUCAGCGUCAUGAUCAGACUAUUACAUUUAGCAAUCAACAGCAUGGGUGCAAAAAAAAAAAUCUACAUUAAAACCCUUUGUUGGAAUGCUUUACACUUUCCACAGAACAGAAACUAAAAUAACCUGUUAUACAAUUAGUCACAAAUACAGUCGAGUUUUUUGCCCAUACACAUGAGUAUUGUCUAAAACAUGUCUUCUUUCAAGUGUUUCUAGAGCAAUCCUUUUUGUAUGUACUAACUCAUUUUAUCCACCCCCUGCCCUCCCACCAAAGAAAUACGGGUUUUUGUGAGACUUAUCGCUGUUCUCUGAUAUGGUGAGGGAAACACAGGGGGCAAGAAGGGUGCUUGAUAUCACACAUGAAUAAAUAAAUGGUGUUGGGAUGCUAAAAUUAAUUAAUUAAUUAAUUAAUAAUAAAACAUGUCUUCUUUGUAGCAGCUAGGCCCUGCCACCACUGUGCUUGGCUGAGUUCACAAAUCUGUUGUGACCUGUAGCUUCCCUGUCACUUCUCUGGCUCUCCUCUCCUGCUAAGCUUUGUUUCCUGGCAGUAAUUAACCAUAGGGGUCAGAGCUUCUGCCUCCAAAAUUUCCUCCUUUCAUGGGUCCAAAAUUUGAGGAUUGAUUGUUGUAAUUGCCAAAAUCGUUAUAGCUUCUGCCACCUCCAAAUUUGCUUCUGUCAUUACCAAAUCCGUUAUAGCCAUCCCCACUGCCACCGUAUCCACCACCACCUCGACUGCCACCGAAGCCACCUCGACCACUGAAGUUCCCUCCACGACCAAAGGUGUCAUUCCCACCAACACCACCUCCACGACCACCACCAAAGUUUCCAGAACCACUUCGGCCUCUUUGGCUGGAGGAAGCACUAGCCAUCUCUUGCUUCGAUAGGGCUUUCCUUACUUCA